CUCUCGUUCGGAACCAUGCCCCUAAAACCAACAUACUUUCAGCUCCAGAUGGCAGAUCAGACAUUUUGAGAGGUGAAAGGAAUAGUAACUGAUGUCCCUGUCAAAAUAGACUAUCAUUUUGUCUACAUAGACUUUCAGGAUAUUGACAUGGGAGAAGAUCAAUACGAUCCACCCAUCAUCCUUGGAAGACCGUUCCUCAGCACCAUUAAAGCAAUUAUCUACAUUGGAACCGGAGAAGUCCAUAUGUACUUCCCCUCAGAGAAGGUACGCCGUUAUUUUACUGACCCUAACUAUAUCUUUGAAGAAUCUAAGUAGGUUAGAAAACGACGCAACUGCAACCAGAGGAGGCAAAUCAUCAAGGACAGAUGGGCAGACUAUGAAGGAGAAGUGGUAAGGUCAGAAGACAUUCAGUUUAAAUAGAAUUAUCCAGAGGAGACCAUAGCACCAAGUCACGUAUGGAAAGAGAAGAUAACUAUACAUGAAGAGGAGGCACUGCCGGAAGUACUGACUCCGCCACCCAACGAAUCCCAGAACAACUAGAAAACGAAGAGUCCUGUUCGGAGGACUUAAAAACACCGAACACCUUGCCAAGAGGUAAACUUGGUAGUUAUCCUUUCCCUUUCAAUUAUUUCAAACAGUUUACUUAGUUAAUCUUGUUCAUACUAUCCUAAAAAGAAAAUAAAAAUGUGAAAAACAGUAAGCCCCAUGUGAGUAUACGAGUGGCAUAAAACCCAUAAGCACAAUCAUUGUGGUGGCAUAAAAAUAUUUUUUCUGCUUUAUAAAAUAAAAAUAUAAAAAUAGGGAGUAAUAUUUAUUAAGGAGUCUCAACAUGAUAAAGGCUAGAUAGAUAUGCUAACACUUAAUCAGUUCCACAAGCUUUGUUGUCUAUUUGAGCUCCACAGAAUUUAAGAAUCAAGAAGACUAGCAGACGGAGGACAUUCUAAUCGCUGUCAGAAUACUGCCGACUUUCAAAUACACCUCUGCCACCUGCUAGCUACAUCAAAAGAAAUUACAUCAAAAUUCA
rnacentral:lncRNA from 1 species